CUGACUGCUGAGGUUUUUCCUAAACCAUUCUGUCUCCUUGCCAUCUUUGACUUUCUAGCCUCUCUCUCUCUACGCAGACUCUGUGGCUACCGGUUCUGCCUUGAUUAACAAAUCAACUAAAAAAGAUUGAAUCUUUUUGAAUCAAACCGUUUCUGGAAAGUGGGUUUUGAUUUUAGCCAGGGUUUAUUCAGGACAAAGAAGAUUUCAGCCCUGGAAGUUUCAGGAAGAACAAAAACAAAGUGUCAUCCUCAAAGAAUGCUAUUUCUAGAAGGGCUCACAAGGAGAGAGCACAACCGCAAACGAGGACAAAAUUUGGGCUGCUUGAGAAACAUAAAGACUAUGUUGACCGUGCUAAGCUUUUCACAAAAAAGAGGAAACUUUAAGGGAAUGAUGCCGUGAAAGAAGUGAAAUUCCUUCAGUUGGAUUGCCAACCAAGCUUGGCAGAUAAGCUCCAUGUCAGCUGGAAGAACUGACUGUCCAAUUAAGAGGAUGUUGAUCUCAGCUGCCGGUGCACCUAGGAGUUUUGAUCAUCCUCUUUCAAUCUGUCAUCUGUAUCACUCCUUUACAUCCAUAAUCCUGUAGUUUUUAACGAAAUAAGAAGCAAGCAAAACAUGCAAUCAGCUCUUAAUUAAGGGCAGCAUUUUUAACUUUUGAUACGUACGUGUGACAAUGUACAAAAACCUCAACCUGGAACAUGCAAUCAGUUCUGACAAUCAUUUCUUUUGAUUGGAACAACAACUGAUUCUAGAAAUGUAUUCAAAAUAUUUAACAUUGAAGAUUGCCUAAAAAUUGAAUUCUCACGAUCCCCGACUCG